rnacentral:rRNA from 1 species
ACACGACUACAUUAGAUACCCCGGUAGUCCUAGCCGUAAACGAUACUCGCUAGGUGUCGGCCACGGUGCGACCGUUUGUCGGUGCCGUAGGGAAGCCGUGAAGCGAGCCACCUGGGAAGUACGGCCGCAAGGCUGAAACUUAAAGGAAUUGGCGGGGGAGCACAACAACGGGUGGAGCUUGCGGUUUAAUUGGAUUCAACGCCGGAAAUCUUACCGGGACCGACAGCAACAUGAAGGCCAAGCUGAAGACUUUGCCGGAUUAGCUG